AUUAUUAUAAUCAAGGGGGAAGCGCUAAACCCGGAAGAUUAUACAGCGCCUGGGGGGGGGGAUGUGGAAGGCAUUCAGGCUUAAUUCGGGGAACUGGAGCACAGAUCCAAUUCCCUAAAUCAAGAGCCCCUCACCAACAUCAAGGAACCUUCCUUGAGGGGAUUAGAGGCCUAGAAAUUACUAUUAACAUAUUCAUGAGAGCGCUAAACCCAUAUGUAAAUGUACGGCAUUCAGGUUUGAUUCAGGGAAGGGUAGAACAGAUCCAAUUCCUUUGGUCAAGAGUCCCUGAACACCAUCAAGACACCUCCCAGAAAGAGAAAAAUUCUCAGUGCAGUAUGUGUACGUAGUUGUCAAAGGUGAUUCACAUGCAACAUGUGCGAGAAGCAACCCAUGACACCACAUGCAGAACCUCACUACCGAGGAGUAAUAUCAGCAGUAACGAACAAGAUCAAGAUGAUGAUUAAGACCUUUUCCUGGAGGAACUCGUCCCGACGUUCAAAUGUUGUUGUUGAGUUGAUGGGCAACGACGGUCCUGAGGAGUUAGUCAUGGUCAGGGAUGACCAUGGUGGUGCAUGGCCGAGCAAAUGUAGACAGCCUGUACUCUCUGCAUAGACAGCCUAUGCUGUCUGCCAGCUGAGUUCAUAUUUCACGCCAUGCUUGUGCUGCCACCUAUAGGCCUAUGCCACUUCAGUAUGCCCAGACCAGCCUCUACCUUACUCACUCAGCGGCCUUCACUCAGUCAACAAGGACUACUCCUCUCUCCCUCGCUGGGCAUGGCCCUCCCGGGCCAUGGGCACUUAACACACUGCCUGUGUAUCCCACGACAUUGCAAAUAAAGUAAAAUGCCUC